CCAAGAGGAUUCUGGAGCGCGCACAGGAGCCGCGUGAGCCCCGCCGGCCUGCAAACCCCAGCGGGACCGGACGCGAAAGCAACGGGGCCACCGGUUCUGUGCCCGCCUUUCCAUUUUCCAACACCCUCACCCUUGAUUAUCCAGCCUCGUUGCCUCGGCGGGCCCGCCCGCCAGAGGACACAACCCAAACCACUGUUGUGAACGGCGUGGUCUGAGCUACAAAGCAAUUGUUA
rnacentral:misc_RNA from 1 species